UCAAAGAUCCAAUUACUGAGGCUGCAAUGUUGGCCCAAAAGAACUCUGAGGCCACUCGAGCAUUGGCAUUGCAAGGCGAGCGUCUGGAGAAGGAGCUUGGUGAAGUACAAAAGGUUCUGCUGGCAAUGCAGGACCAGCAACACAAACAGCUUGAAUUAAUUCUUGCAAUUGGGAAAACUGGAAAGUUGUUUGAGAACAAGCGCGGACCUAGUCAAGAUCCAAAUCAAAAAACAAAUGACAUGUCUAAUACAGCCGCGGAUGGAUUUCCACAGUUGGGAGUGAAUCAAAUCCAAGCUUUGAAGAGACAGACAGCGGAAAACCAAUAAUGACAGAAUCUAGUUUCUUUCAGUAUAGACCAGUAAGAUUUCUUUAAACGACGAAAGGGUUGAUAUGCAUGGUCUCAUACUUAUAUGCUUGAAGAUUGACAGAUAUUUGAGGAAUCAUAUAUCCUUGUGCAGAUUCUUUUCUCCUGGUUUUGUUUUUAGCUAUAUCGCUGUAGGGAGGGAGAGGAGAAAGGUGAAACUCGAUGUUCUUGUUCACGUUUAUUUGACAACGAAACUCUGUGUAUUAAGAAACACAAUCAAUCAUUCCAUCUCCUGUAGCUGCAAUGCUUGCUAAAGCGUCAUUGUUGUCAAAUUUUG
rnacentral:misc_RNA from 1 species